UCAAAAAUCAAACCUAACUAAAUGCCAAA
rnacentral:piRNA from 1 species